rnacentral:rRNA from 1 species
UACGUAGGGCGCAAGCGUUGUCCGGAAUUAUUGGGCGUAAAGAGCUCGUAGGUGGUUUGUCGCGUCUGCCGUGAAAGCCCGGGGCUUAACUCCGGGUCUGCGGUGGAUACGGGCAGACUAGAGUGUGGUAGGGGAGACUGGAAUUCCUGGUGUAGCGGUGAAAUGCGCAGAUAUCAGGAGGAACACCUGCGGCGAAGGCGGGUUGCUGGGCUGACACUGACGCUGAUGCGCGAAAGCCAGGGGAGCGAACGGG